rnacentral:misc_RNA from 1 species
AAGUGUUUUUCCCUCUUUUCUUUUGCUUUUGAGUUUGCCUUGCUUUUUCUCUGGUUGCUGUGGCGUUUGUAAUGAAAAAGAAUAGAAAUUGAAGCCUAUUUUAUAAUAUUCUUCGUGUUCAUUUAUCCCCUUUGCUUUUUAAACAAAAUUGUAAUUCAAUAGCUGUGACAAUUAGGAGUUUAUGGGAAAGCUAUUGAAUUUAUUUAAUUUUUUAAAUGUUUCUGCUUGAUUUUGGUUUUAUUUUCCCCUUUACUUGAUGGGUUUAAUUUUUAUUUUCCUGGUUAUCGUGAAUUUGGUAACUGGAUUUUUUUUUUAGAUUUUUUAAUUGUGAUUUUGUGGGAAAACUUAAGUUAGGUAGUUUUGAUGUUUUUGGUGAACUGAUGCCACUAUCAGCCUGCUUGUUUGCUGAGAAUAUUCAAGAUGAGGAGAAAAAGGAAACUUUGUGUUUCUUUUGUUCAUUUCACCUUCUGAUGAAUAAAAUGAAAUGAAACAUAUGGUAGAUAUCAUUUUUUAGGAUUUUGAUUACUGGGA